AAUUGACCUCAAAUCAGGCAAGACUACCUGCUGAACUUAAGCAUAUCAGUAAGCAGAGGAAAAGAAAACAACUGUGAUUCCCUUAGUAACUGCGAGUGAAGCGGGAUAAGCCCAUCGUUUAAUCUUCUUGGACCUAGUUCAAGACGAAAUGUAACGGUAUGGAUAGGUUCUCUACUAAGAAUGUCUAGUCAAAGUCCUCCGGAUUGAGGUGCCAUAGAGGGUGACAGCCCCGUAUGUGACUAGAUAAACUUAGGUAUGUGACCAAAUCCGAGAGUCGGGUUGUUUGGGACUGCAACCUAAAGUAGGUGGUAAACUCCACCCAAGGCUAAAUAUAGACACGAAACCGAUAGCGAACAAGUACUGUGAGGGAAAGUUGAAAAGAACUCUGAAAAGAGAGUUAAAAGUACGUGAAACCGCUAACGGGGAAGCGGAAGGCAGUGUCGAGAUUCUGUGAGUGAGAUAUUAUAUGUUUAAGGGUAUAUGUUGUUGUUGAUAAUGUGCCAAUAUACAUGUAUUAUCUAGCUUGGCAGAAUGCGUCAGAUCUAUUGGUAUUAACAUGAUUAAAUUAUUUGAUUGGCUUGUACGACGCCUAUAUACUUGUAUAUGGGUCCGUAUUUGUAAUAGAUAAUCCGUCAUGUGUACUAAUAUGUAUGUGAUGAAGCGUUAGUGAUUUAUUAUCGGUUGAGAGUUUGUAGUGCUGUGUAUUGAUUGCAGUGUAGUUAGUAUGGAGAAACUACAAAAUUUUCAACAACUAAUGCUAGUAUCUGACGAGAUACCUAACCUUCCGACCCGUCUUGAAACACGGACCAAGGAGGCAGAAUCUAGAGCAAGUUGGAGGGUGUAAAACCCGACGGCGUAGUGAAAGCAAUAGAUGAGAUCUACUAACUUUGGUUGGUAGCGCAUCAUCGGCCAGUCAUUAUACAAUGAUUGAGUUAGAGCUCUAGGUGCUGGACCCGAAAGAUGGUGAACUAUGCGUGAGCAGGGUGAAGCCAGAGGAAACUCUGGUGGAAGCUCGAAGCGAUUCUGACGUGCAAAUCGAUCGUUUGACUUGCGUAUAGGGGCGAUAGACUAAUCGAACCAUCUAGUAGCUGGUUCCCUUCGAAAUAUCCCUCAGGAUCGCUGAGACAAGUGAUAAACAGUUUCAUCGGGUAGAGCGAAUGAUUAGAGGAAUCGGGGAUAUAUUACUCUCGACCUAUUCUCAAACUAUCAACCGGUGAGAACAUUGUUUUUCUUGUUUGAAACAAUGUGUAUGAAUGUUGUUGUCUCAAGUGGGCCAUUUUUGGUAAGCAGAACUGGCGAUGCGGGAUGAACCGAGAGUCGAGCUAAGGUGCCUAAGGACACGUUGAUAGAUACCACAAAAGGAGUCGGUCGAUAAAGACAGCAGGGCGGUGGCCCUGAAAGUAGGAAUCCGCUAAGGAGUGUCUAACAACUCACCUGCCGAAUCGACCGGCCCUGAAAAUGGAUGGCGCUGAAGCGUGUCACCGAUGCUCGACCUCUACCACGAGAGAUGUUGGUAGAGGGUAGAAGGGCGCAGCGGUAGCGAUAAAGUACAAAGUGUAAACUUGUAUGGAGCUGCCGUUGGUGUAGAUCUUGGUGGUAGUAGCAAUUAUAAAAGUGAGUAAAAACCUUUUAGGCCGAAGUGGAGAAGGGUUCCACGUGAACAGCAGUUGGACGUGGGUUAGUCGGUCCUAAGCGGUUGCCUAACGGCUAUUUCAAUGCUGACUUGGUUAUUACGUGGUAAUUCAUGUAAAAAGUGAUGAACUGCGUAGUGUGACGUGGGUCAGAAUUCCGCGAAAGGGAAUCAGGUUAAUAUUCCUGAACCGGGCGAUGGAGACGCUUUUUGUCAGUAUUAUUCGUAAGAGUAGUGCUGCAAUUGGCUUAGCGGUAACGCAAACAAUCUCGGAGACGUUGAUAUCUAUGGCGGGGAGAAUUAUCUUUUCUGUAUAACAAGUCAACUACCUUGGAAUCGAGUCAUUCGGAGAUAAGGUAAUAAGCUUGGAAGAGCACCGCAAUUUUAUGCAGUGUCCGUACUAUAGAUAUCGGCCCUUGAAAAUCCGAGGGAGUGGUUAAAUUUCACGCCCGUCCGUACCGAAUCCGCAUCAGGUCUCCAAGGUGUGCAGCCUCUGGCACUGGAACAAUGUAGGUAAGGGAAGUCGGCAAAAUAGAUCCGUAACUUUGGGAAAAGGAUUGGCUCUAAGGGCCGGGCCAAUCGAGCUAGUAUUGCCUAGGCUAGUGGGGGUUGAACGGGGUCUAUCUAGAUGCAUGUAAAAGUGUUAUUUGGAUGGAUCUGGUGAAGCAAACGCUGGCCCUGGAAUACCUGUGUGAACUUGUAUUGGCAGAUUGAUUGUUGGUGUAGCAGUUUGCUUAAUUGUGGAUUGUUAUGCUGGCAAUUCGGGCUGUUGAUAGGGUUCUUUACGAGUGGCAAGCAUCGGUCAGCUUAGAACUGUUACUAACUAGGGGAAUCCGACUGUUUAAUUAAAACAAAGCAUUGCGAUGGCCGGAAACGGUGUUGACGCAAUGUGAUUUCUGCCCAGUGCUCUGAAUGUCAAAGUGCGGAAACGCAACCAAGCACGGGUAAACGGCGGGAGUAACUAUGACUCUUUGAAGGUAGCCAAAUGCCUCGUCAUCUAAUUAGUGACGCGCAUGAAUGGAUCAACGAGAUUCCCACUGUCCCUACCUACCAUCCAGCGAAACCACAGUCAAGGGAACGGGCUUGACUGAGACAGCGGGGAAAGAAGACCCUGUUGAGCUUGACUCUAGUUUGAUUUUGUGAGAAGACAUGAGGGGUGUAGAAUAAGUGGGAGGUUAAUAUUAUUAUUAGCCGACAGUGAAAUACCACUACUUUCAUUGUUUUCACACUAAGUCGGUGGCACGGGAGAUACUCGUUUCGGCGGGUGGAUUCGUGGCUAUAAGGCAGACUGAUCUGUUGACCCAUUACCGAUGACAGAAUCAGAUGGAGAGUUUGACUGGGGCGGUACAUCCUUAAAAAUGCAACGAGGGUGUCCAAAGGCGAGCUCACCGUGGACAGAAACCACGGGUAGAGCAAAAGGGCAAAAGCUCGCUUGAUUCCGAUUUUCAGUACGAAUACGAACCACGAAAGUGUGGCCUAUCGAUCCCUUGAUCACCCAGAGUUUGGGGACAGGGGUGUCAGAAAAGUUACCACAGGGAUAACUGGCUUGUGGCGGCCAAGCGUCCAUAGCGACGUCGCUUUUUGAUCCUUCGAUGUCGGCUCUUCCUAUCAUUGGGUAGCAGCAUACUCAAAGUGUUGGAUUGUUCACCCACCAACAGGGAACGUGAGCUGGGUUUAGACCGUCGUGAGACAGGUUAGUUUUACCCUACUGUCUCUAGCACUGUAACAGUAGUCCUGUUUAGUACGAGAGGACCCGCAGGACCGGAUAAACGGUGAAGCAUUUGGUUGAUAGGCCAGUGAUGCAAUGCUGUCAUCCGCUGGAUAAUGGCUGAAAGCCUCUAAGCCA
rnacentral:rRNA from 1 species